rnacentral:rRNA from 1 species
UGCCAGUGAUAAACUGGAGGAAGGUGGGGAUGACGUCAAGUCAUCAUGGCCCUUACGAGUAGGGCUACACACGUGCUACAAUGGCGCAUACAAAGAGAAGCGACCUCGCGAGAGCAAGCGGACCUCAUAAAGUGCGUCGUAGUCCGGAUUGGAGUCUGCAACUCGACUCCAUGAAGUCGGAAUCGCUAGUAAUCGUAGAUCAGAAUGCUACGGUGAAUACGUUCCCGGGCCUUGUACACACCGCCCGUCACACCAUGGGAGUGGGUUGCAAAAGAAGUAGGUAGCUUAACCUUCGGGAGGGCGCUUACCACUUUGUGAUUCAUGACUGGGGUGAAGUCGUAACAAGGUAACCGUAGGGGAACCUG